rnacentral:rRNA from 1 species
GGUUAAGCGACUAAGCGUACACGGUGGAUGCCCUGGCAGUCAGAGGCGAUGAAGGGCGUGCUAAUCUGCGAUAAGCGCCGGUAAGGUGAUAUGAACCGUUAUAACCGGCGAUACCCGAAUGGGGAAACCCAGUGUGACUCGUCACACUAUCAUUAACUGAAUCCAUAGGUUAAUGAGGCGAACCGGGGGAACUGAAACAUCUAAGUACCCCGAGGAAAAGAAAUCAACCGAGAUUCCCCCAGUAGCGGCGAGCGAACGGGGAGGAGCCCAGAGCCUGAAUCAGCAUGUGUGUUAGUGGAAGCGUCUGGAAAGGCGCGCGAUACAGGGUGACAGCCCCGUACACAAAAGCGCAUGUGCUGUGAGCUCGAUGAGUAGGGCGGGACACGUGGUAUCCUGUCUGAAUAUGGGGGGACCAUCCUCCAAGGCUAAAUACUCCUGACUGACCGAUAGUGAACCAGUACCGUGAGGGAAAGGCGAAAAGAACCCCGGCGAGGGGAGUGAAAAAGAACCUGAAACCGUGUACGUACAAGCAGUGGGAGCCCCACCACUAAGCCAGUGGUGAACUCCACAUACGCAUCCUUUGCUGAGGAUACGGUUAACGGAGCGAAAGCGACGUUCAACCUCAAAAGAAGCAGAGGGGGCUUAGUGGUGGGGUGACUGCGUACCUUUUGUAUAAUGGGUCAGCGACUUAUAUUCUGUAGCAAGGUUAACCGAAUAGGGGAGCCGGAGGGAAACCGAGUCUUAACCGGGCGUUAAGUUGCAGGGUAUAGACCCGAAACCCGGUGAUCUAGCCAUGGGCAGGUUGAAGGUUGGGUAACACUAACUGGAGGACCGAACCGACUAAUGUUGAAAAAUUAGCGGAUGACCUGUGGCUGGGGGUGAAAGGCCAAUCAAACCGGGAGAUAGCUGGUUCUCCCCGAAAGCUAUUUAGGUAGCGCCUCGUGAAUUCAUCUCCGGGGGUAGAGCACUGUUUCGGCUAGGGGGCCAUCCCGGCUUACCAACCCGAUGCAAACUGCGAAUACCGGAGAAUGUUAUCACGGGAGACACACGGCGGGUGCUAACGUCCGUCGUGAAGAGGGAAACAACCCAGACCGCCAGCUAAGGUCCCAAAGUCAUGGUUAAGUGGGAAACGAUGUGGGAAGGCCCAGACAGCCAGGAUGUUGGCUUAGAAGCAGCCAUCAUUUAAAGAAAGCGUAAUAGCUCACUGGUCGAGUCGGCCUGCGCGGAAGAUGUAACGGGGCUAAACCAUGCACCGAAGCUGCGGCAGCGACACUCAGGUGUUGUUGGGUAGGGGAGCGUUCUGUAAGCCUGUGAAGGUGGCCUGUGAGGGUUGCUGGAGGUAUCAGAAGUGCGAAUGCUGACAUAAGUAACGAUAAAGCGGGUGAAAAGCCCGCUCGCCGGAAGACCAAGGGUUCCUGUCCAACGUUAAUCGGGGCAGGGUGAGUCGACCCCUAAGGCGAGGCCGAAAGGCGUAGUCGAUGGGAAACGGGUUAAUAUUCCCGUACUUGGUGUUACUGCGAAGGGGGGACGGAGAAGGCUAUGUUGGCCGGGCGACGGUUGUCCCGGUUUAAGCGUGUAGGUGUGUGUUCCAGGUAAAUCCGGUUCACUUUAACACUGAGGCGUGAUGACGAGGCACUACGGUGCUGAAGCAACAAAUGCCCUGCUUCCAGGAAAAGCCUCUAAGCAUCAGGUAACAUCAAAUCGUACCCCAAACCGACACAGGUGGUCAGGUAGAGAAUACCAAGGCGCUUGAGAGAACUCGGGUGAAGGAACUAGGCAAAAUGGUGCCGUAACUUCGGGAGAAGGCACGCUGACACGUAGGUGAAGUGAUUUACUCAUGGAGCUGAAGUCAGUCGAAGAUACCAGCUGGCUGCAACUGUUUAUUAAAAACACAGCACUGUGCAAACACGAAAGUGGACGUAUACGGUGUGACGCCUGCCCGGUGCCGGAAGGUUAAUUGAUGGGGUUAUCCGUAAGGAGAAGCUCCUGAUCGAAGCCCCGGUAAACGGCGGCCGUAACUAUAACGGUCCUAAGGUAGCGAAAUUCCUUGUCGGGUAAGUUCCGACCUGCACGAAUGGCGUAAUGAUGGCCAGGCUGUCUCCACCCGAGACUCAGUGAAAUUGAACUCGCUGUGAAGAUGCAGUGUACCCGCGGCAAGACGGAAAGACCCCGUGAACCUUUACUAUAGCUUGACACUGAACACUGGUCCUUGAUGUGCAGGAUAGGUGGGAGGCUUUGAAGCGCGGACGCCAGUUCGUGUGGAGCCAUCCUUGAAAUACCACCCUUUAAUGGCUGGUGUUCUAACGUAGACCCGUGAUCCGGGUUGCGGACAGUGUCUGGUGGGUAGUUUGACUGGGGCGGUCUCCUCCUAAAGAGUAACGGAGGAGCACGAAGGUUAGCUAAUCCUGGUCGGACAUCAGGAGGUUAGUGCAAAGGCAUAAGCUAGCUUGACUGCGAGCGUGACGGCGCGAGCAGGUGCGAAAGCAGGUCUUAGUGAUCCGGUGGUUCUGAAUGGAAGGGCCAUCGCUCAACGGAUAAAAGGUACUCCGGGGAUAACAGGCUGAUACCGCCCAAGAGUUCAUAUCGACGGCGGUGUUUGGCACCUCGAUGUCGGCUCAUCACAUCCUGGGGCUGAAGUAGGUCCCAAGGGUAUGGCUGUUCGCCAUUUAAAGUGGUACGCGAGCUGGGUUUAGAACGUCGUGAGACAGUUCGGUCCCUAUCUGCCGUGGGCGCUGGAGAACUGAGGGGGGCUGCUCCUAGUACGAGAGGACCGGAGUGGACGCAUCACUGGUGUUCGGGUUGUCAUGCCAAUGGCACUGCCCGGUAGCUAAAUGCGGAAGAGAUAAGUGCUGAAAGCAUCUAAGCACGAAACUUGCCCCGAGAUGAGUUCUCCCUGAGACUUAGAGUCUCCUGAAGGAACGUUGAAGACGACGACGUUGAUAGGCCGGGUGUGUAAGCGCAGCGAUGCGUUGAGCUAACCGGUACUAAUGAACCGUGAGGCUUAACCUU